GACGAACGCUGGCGGCGUGCCUAAUACAUGCAAGUCGAACGCAGUGGGGACGGGUGAGUAACCCGUGGGUAACCUCCCAUCAGAGGGGAUAACACUUGGAAACAGGUGCUAAACCGAUACUGAUGGAUGGACCGGGGGUGCAUUAGCUAGUUGGUGAGGUAACGGCUCACCAAGGCGAAGAUGCAUAGCUGGCCUGAGAGGAGGAUCGGCCACACUGGAACUGAGACACGGCCCAGACUCCUACGGGAGGCAGCAGUGGGGAAUAUUCGGCAAUGGACGAAAGUCUGACCGAGCAACGCCGCGUGGGUGAAGAAGGUUUUCGGAUCGUAAAACUCUGUUGUUAGAGAAGCGGUAUCUAACCAGAAAGCCACGGCUAACUACGUGCCAGCCGCCGCGGUAAUUC
rnacentral:rRNA from 1 species